GUUUGUGACUGAUGAGAAAACAAAAAUAUUACAGUUAUCCCUGUCUGACACGUUGUGUGCUGACUUUUUUGUGAUCUGACACAAAC